GGAAGUAAAGUCGUAACAAGGUCUCCGUUGGUGAACCAGCGGAGGGAUCAUUACCGAGUUAUACAACUCCCAAACCCACUGUGAACCUUACCUCAGUUGCCUCGGCGGGAACGCCCCGGCCGCCUGCCCCCGCGCCGGCGCCGGACCCAGGCGCCCGCCGCAGGGACCCCAAACUCUCUUGCAUUACGCCCAGCGGGCGGAAUUUCUUCUCUGAGUUGCACAAGCAAAAACAAAUGAAUCAAAACUUUCAACAACGGAUCUCUUGGUUCUGGCAUCGAUGAAGAACGCAGCGAAAUGCGAUAAGUAAUGUGAAUUGCAGAAUUCAGUGAAUCAUCGAAUCUUUGAACGCACAUUGCGCCCGCCAGCAUUCUGGCGGGCAUGCCUGUUCGAGCGUCAUUUCAACCCUCGAGCCCCCCCCGGGGGCCUCGGUGUUGGGGGACGGCACACCAGCCGCCCCCGAAAUGCAGUGGCGACCCCGCCGCAGCCUCCCCUGCGUAGUAGCACACACCUCGCACCGGAGCGCGGAGGCGGUCACGCCGUAAAACGCCCAACUUUCUUAGAGUUGACCUCGGAUCAGGUAGGAAUACCCGCUGAACUUAAGCAUAUCAAUAAGCGGAGGA
rnacentral:rRNA from 1 species